AUUUUCGUCAUUCGUGACAUGUAAACCAAAUAUCAAACAUGUUUGAUAUUUUUCGUCAUUCGUGACAAAAACAUUCUCGUGUGCGGCGAGCAAACGACAAGCGCGCCUGAAUAGAAAAAUUUGCGCAUGCGUGCAACUUGCAGAAUUAAAAACAACAUGGCGGAUCAAAAUCACGAGCUCGCGUCUUGUUUUUAAUUCUGCAAGUUACCGCAUGCGCAAAUUUUCCUAUUCAGGCGCGCUUGUCGUUUGCUCGCCGCACACGAGAAUUUUUUUGUCACGACUGACGAAAAAUAUCAAACAAAAAUGUUUGAUAUUUGGUUUACAUGUCACGAAUGACGAAAAUGCCGUAAAUGUUGCCCGCACACGAGGAAAUUUUGUGGAUCCAACUUGUCACGAAUAACAAGUACGCGUGACAAGUGCGCUCGUGUGCGGCGGGCUUUACAAGGAGAUGUUCUUAACUAAAUUUUAAUACAUGCACCUUGUCAAUAUUUUACGCAUCAUUACUUUCAGCUUUUUGGUAGGGCAUUCAAUUUUAACAAUAAGUGUGCAGACACACAUGUGCAGCUCGUCAAGUCUUGCUACUUGGAGCCUUACUUGGAGGGGAUAUUUCAUUGAAUCCUGUUCCCACUGGAAAUAAAGCCAUACAAAGGCAGCAAAUGUGAACACUGUGACUGUGAGAGAACAAUUAAAAUUAACCACAAAGAAAUUUCUUCUAUCAAAAAUCUACUGAGAUAUAUUCAUUCCAUACAUAAAGAUAUUACUUAGUACAGUUAGGAUUUUGAAAAGUCCGGCCUAUCGUAUAGAUCUUCAGCAUGCAACUCAAAUUUAUCAUUUAUGCACUUUAAUUCCCAAAUUAAUGACUAUUUAACUGCCAUGUUUAUGUUUCGAUAUCACCAUCUUAAAAAUCUACCUGAAGAAUUUGAUAAUUUUUUUGUGAGUAGUAAUCAAAUUCAUCAGCAUAACACGAGAAACGCAUCCAAACUUUACAAGCAAUAUAAAAG